rnacentral:rRNA from 1 species
GACGAACGCUGGCGGCGUGCUUAACACAUGCAAGUCGUACGGAAAGGCCCUUUCGGUGGUACACGAGUGGCGGACGGGUGAGUAACACGUACGUAAGCAGCCCACACCUUUGGGAUUACGAUAGGAAACUGAUGCUGAUACUGGAUAUGUGCUCCUUCUUCAUGCUGGGGGUUGGAAAGCUCCGGCGGGUGUGGAUGGACUCGCUGGCUAUCUGCUUGCUGGUGGGGUAGUGGGCUACCAAGGCGGCGUCGGGUGGCCAGCCUGCGUGGGUGACCGGCCACAUUGGGUCUUAGGGACGGCCCAGGCUCCUACGGGAGGGAGCAGGGGGGAAUCUUGCACGAGCGGCGCAAGGCUGAUGCAGCAACGCCGCGGGCGGGAUGACGGCCUUCGGGGUGUAAACCGCUUUCAGCAGGGACGAAGCUUUUUGUGACGGUACCUGCAGAAGAAGCACCGGCUAACUACGUG